CUCCAAUAGCAUAAAUGAGCUAUCUUUAUUGGAGAUAAAAAAAAUAGUAACAUAACAGAUAAAGCCUCUUUGCAGGAGAAACGCGUUAGUGUUUUUUAAAGCUGUUUUAUGUUACUAUUUUUUUUUAUCUAAAACCGUAUCCAGAACACAAUUAAAGUCCCCUGUAAUAACUAACAUUUCCAUUGUAACUUUUUCUACUCUAUCCAUUAUCUUUUUUAGAUACUUUGUUGGUGAUAUAUUUGGCAGAUGGAGGUUUACAAAAGUAUAUUUUACAGAGUCUAUCUUACAAACUAGGAUUUGAUAUCUUCCUUCAUUAUCUACCUCUGUGUAUAUUAUCUCUUUAUUAAGCAAUUUUGAGAAGAUGAUAGCAACUCCUCUCUUUUUUUUUUCCUCUCAAGAGAUACCUGUAUAACUUCUUCGUAUAUCUCAUAUCCCCAUCUGAUUUU